CACUCCGGUCACUCGGCAGUACAUACCAGGUGUCACACCGCUGCCCGGCAGGUGAUGUGACGACACUGAAUUGGUCCGGAACCCUGCCUGUGCUCCAUGCCAGCUACCAGUCCUAGGUUGGCACAUUCCAUUGGGGACAUCCAUGGGAGAGCUAUGGCCAUUAACAAGUCCUGAGACCUGAUCUGAUGCCAUCAGUGGCCCAGAUGGAGGGACUAUGCUAGAAGGUGUGCCAAGGCCACUUACUGAGAGAGGGCCACAGCUGCUCUACUGCCUCUCUUCCUGGAUCUCCUGCUUAUGACAACUGACAACAAAGAUAUUUGACUCCGGAAGAUGCUCCCCACAGCUCACCUGAGAGGACUAUCCAGUACCCCACCCCCACCCCCACUGUGCCCUGUGCCAUCCACCUCUGAGUCCCCAACUUUAAGUAGACCCUGCUUCUCACCCAUGUCCCAAUUCCCACCAGGAGCCUUGCAUUUCAGAUCUGAGCAGCCCUGGCUUAGAAUCCUGAAGUGGGGGUGGGUAGGCAGACCCCCGGGGACUGAGCAGGGAGGGGAAGGGGGUUCUGCUCUUGGCUUUCCAAGUUCUCGGUAUGUAUAGCCCUUUGAAUAAUAAACAUAUAUCAUAUAAUGUAAA
rnacentral:lncRNA from 1 species